rnacentral:rRNA from 1 species
GGGUUGUGAGGUUAAGCGACUAAGCGUACACGGUGGAUGCCCUGGCAGUCAGAGGCGAUGAAGGGCGUGCUAAUCUGCGAUAAGCGCCGGUAAGGUGAUAUGAACCGUUAUAACCGGCGAUACCCGAAUGGGGAAACCCAGUGUGACUCGUCACACUAUCAUUAACUGAAUCCAUAGGUUAAUGAGGCGAACCGGGGGAACUGAAACAUCUAAGUACCCCGAGGAAAAGAAAUCAACCGAGAUUCCCCCAGUAGCGGCGAGCGAACGGGGAGGAGCCCAGAGCCUGAAUCAGCAUGUGUGUUAGUGGAAGCGUCUGGAAAGGCGCGCGAUACAGGGUGACAGCCCCGUACACAAAAGCGCAUGUGCUGUGAGCUCGAUGAGUAGGGCGGGACACGUGGUAUCCUGUCUGAAUAUGGGGGGACCAUCCUCCAAGGCUAAAUACUCCUGACUGACCGAUAGUGAACCAGUACCGUGAGGGAAAGGCGAAAAGAACCCCGGCGAGGGGAGUGAAAAAGAACCUGAAACCGUGUACGUACAAGCAGUGGGAGCACAGGUUUACCUGUGUGACUGCGUACCUUUUGUAUAAUGGGUCAGCGACUUAUAUUCUGUAGCAAGGUUAACC